GACGAACGCUGGCGGCGUGCUUAACACAUGCAAGUCGAACGGAAAGGCCCUGCUUUUGUGGGGUGCUCGAGUGGCGAACGGGUGAGUAACACGUGAGUAACCUGCCCUUGACUUUGGGAUAACUUCAGGAAACUGGGGCUAAUACCGGAUAGGAGCUCCUGCUGCAUGGUGGGGGUUGGAAAGUUUCGGCGGUUGGGGAUGGACUCGCGGCUUAUCAGCUUGUUGGUGAGGUAGUGGCUUACCAAGGUUUUGACGGGUAGCCGGCCUGAGAGGGUGACCGGCCACAUUGGGACUGAGAUACGGCCCAGACUCCAACGGGAGGCAGCAGUGGGAAAUAUUGCACAAUGGGCGGAAGCCUGAUGCAGCAACGCCGCGUGCGGGAUGACGGCCUACGGGUUGUAAACCGCUUUCGCCUGUGACGAAGCGUGCGUGACGGUAAUGGGUAAAGAAGCAACGGCUAACUACGUG
rnacentral:rRNA from 1 species